UACGGGGGGGGCAAGCGUUGUUCGGAAUUACUGGGCGUAAAGGGCGCGUAGGCGGCUCGUCAAGUCGGGCGUGAAAUCUCCGGGCUUAACCCGGAAAAGUCGUUCGAUACUGUUGAGCUAGAGUGUGGAAGGGGCUACUGGAAUUCCGUGUGUAGCGGUGAAAUGCGUAGAUAUUAGGAAGAACACCAGUGGCGAAGGCGGCUCACUGGUCCGGUACUGACGCUGAGGUGCGAAAGCGUGGGGAGCAAACAGG
rnacentral:rRNA from 1 species